AUCGAGGCUAGAGUCACGCUUGGGUAUCAGCCAUUGUCUUAGUGUGCUAGAGUCCUCAAAGAGUAGCUGCUGACCUUAUUCACUGGCUGUGGCCCUCAUGGCAUAGUCAGUCACCCAGGUUAGUGACAUGC
ensembl:snoRNA